rnacentral:rRNA from 1 species
UGGUGACUAUAGCAAGGAGGUCACACCUGUUCCCAUGCCGAACACAGAAGUUAAGCACCUUAGCGUCGAUGGUAGUCGAACUUACGUUCCGCUAGAGUAGAACGUUGCCAGGCA